rnacentral:rRNA from 1 species
AGAUCGAACGCUGGCGGCGUGGUUAAGGCAUGCAAGUCGAGCGAACCUCUUUGCGGGGUAACCCAAGAUUAGGUUAGCGGCGAACGGGUGAGUAAUGCAUGGAUAACGUACCCCGAACUCAGGGAUAGCGGCGGGACUUCGGUUCCUUUGCGAAAGUGCCGGUAAUACCUGAUGACCCCGUAGUGUCGCAUGACACAGCGGGCAAAGCUCCGGCGGUUUGGGAUCGGCCCAUGUCUUAUCAGCUAGUUGGUGAGGUAACGGCCCACCAAGGCUAUGACGAGUACCGGGCGUGAGAGCGUGACCCGGCACAUCGGAACUGAGAUACGGUCCGGACACCUACGGGUGGCUGCAGCAACGAAUAUUCCCCAAUGGACGCAAGUCUGAGGGAGCGACGCCGCGUGCAGGAAGAAGUUCUUCGGGAUGUAAACUGCUGUCAGGGGCAAGGAAUCAAUGACCAGCCCCACAGGAAGCACUGGCUAACUCCGUGCCAGCAGCCGCGGUAAUACGGAGAGUGCUAGCGUUGAUCGGAAUUAUUGGGCUUAAAGCGCGUGUAGGCGGAAUAUCAGGUGUCUAGUGAAAGCCCCGGGCUCAACCCGGGAAUUGCUGGGCAAACCGGUAUUCUUGAGGCAGGUAGAGGUGACUGGAACGACUGGUGGGGCGGUGAAAUGCGUAGAUAUCAGUUGGAACGCCUGAGGCGAAAGCGAGUCACUGGGCCUGUCCUGACGCUCAGACGCGAAGGCGUGGGUAGCGAACAGGAUUAGAUACCCUGGUAGUCCACGCCGUAAACGAUGCGCACUAGGUAUGGGAGGUUUUGACGCCGACCGUGCCGAAGCAAAAGUGGUAAGUGCGCCGCCUGGGGAGUACGGCCGCAAGGCUA